rnacentral:rRNA from 1 species
CCCUUAGACGUUCUGGGCCGCACGCGCGCUACACUGACCAGUGCAACAAGCAUCCGUCCUUGGCCGACAGGCCCGGGCAAUCUUUGAACGCUGGUCGUGAUGGGGAUAGACUUUUGCAAUUUUUGGUCUUCAACGAGGAAUUCCUAGUAAACGCAAGUCAUCAACUUGCAUUGAUUACGUCCCUGCCCUUUGUACACACCGCCCGUCGCACCUACCGAUUGAAUGGUCCGGUGAAAUUCUCGGACGCGGACUUGCGAUGUUAAUUCGGAGCUUGACUGUGAAAGUUAAUUAAACCUUACCAUUUAGAGGAAGGUGAAGUCGUAACA